UACGUAGGGUGCGAGCGUUGUCCGGAAUUACUGGGCGUAAAGAGCUCGUAGGUGGUUUGUCGCGUUGUUCGUGAAAACUCACAGCUUAACUGUGGGCGUGCGGGCGAUACGGGCAGACUGGAGUACUGCAGGGGAGACUGGAAUUCCUGGUGUAGCGGUGGAAUGCGCAGAUAUCAGGAGGAACACCGGUGGCGAAGGCGGUUAGCUGGGCAGUUGCUGACACUGAGGCGCGACAGCGUGGGGAGCAAACAGG
rnacentral:rRNA from 1 species